CUCCCUGGGUACGGGCAAAGAGACAUCUUGUAGGUGUGGUGUUCUUGUAUCAGUCAGGGGCAGAGCAGAUGUCAGUCCCUUGUUCAUCCUAGCUUGAUGCCUGGCUUGGUGGCCAAAGCUGUUUUAUACACUGGACUUAUAA